rnacentral:misc_RNA from 1 species
GAUGAAGAACGUAGCGAAAUGCGAUAAGUAAUGUGAAUUGCAGAAUUCAGUGAAUCAUCGAAUCUUUGAACGCACAUUGCGCCCCUUGGUAUUCCGAGGGGCAUGCCUGUUCGAGCGUCAUUAUAACCCCUCAAGCUCAGCUUGGUGUUGGGGCCUGCUGCACUGGCAGCCCUUAAAAUCAGUGGCGGCGCCAUCUGGCUCUAAGCGUAGUAAUUCUUCUCGCUAUGGAGUCCUGGUGGAUGCUUGCCAUCAACCCCCAAUUUUUCUAUGGUUGACCUCGGAUCAGGUAGGGAUACCCGCUGAACUUAAGCAUAUCAAUCAGCGGAGGA